CCCUUUUGACUAACAGCUGGUUUUUUGCUAAGAAGAAAAAGUCUUACUCAAGGUACAGCUAAGAGCUUGGAGAUGGUUCCCAGGGCACUGCAGCUCAGCAGCGUUUCCUGGUAAGACACUGAGCCUUGGGGAGAAGACAUGACCUUAUCACCUUCCCACAAUUUUGUCCAGUUCUGCGCAGUUACUGCA